GCAAUUUAUGCCCUAUAUAGUAAGCUAGAGGGCUCUUUCUGAUUCUUUGUGUGUGUAUAGAUACGCAGGUUCUUAGCAAUGAGCCGUUCUGGUUAAUUCUUAUGCAUGUGGUUGCUAUGCCUCUCUUAGUAUUUCUGUGAUUUUUCAUGCAUUUAGUUCUGCUUCCUAUCCAAACAUGGUGUUCAGUUCACUAUCUUUUGUUGUGCACAAUGCUUGGAUAUGCCCUACGGAGAAUUCUCAAAAUUCUUAUUCUUUGAAUUGUUUAGCUUAGGAGCAUUUGUUGUACGUAAGCACAUACAGAAAUAAGAUUUUAUCUACUUCUAAGGAUAUGGUGGUAGAAACAACAAGGAGCAUGACCAGGAUAGGAGAGUACAGAGGGCUCUGCCAGUGCACUACAUCACAGAUGUCAUCUGUAGGAAUGAUGGCAUCGACUGUCAUUUGCACGUUUACAGAUUCACAAUGGAGGUGAGAUUGGUAUAUGCUUCGUCAGCACAAGUCCUAUGUAACGAAGUUGGAUAAUAUACGAUUCCUUACGAAAGACUAAUUUCGAGAAUGCAUCUUUUGUGAGAUUAAUAGCUAGCUUGAUUUGGAUGCUGUUGGAAUUGUUUUAUUCUUUUAGGUGUCAUGAUCUCUAGCGGUAGCUAGCCUGGUUUGGAGGUGUUGAUCCUUCACAUCACAUUCGGAACCGUUCGCUCUUUGGUUACGAUUUGGCUGCCAUACAGCGGAAUCUGGCUGAAAAAGGGAAACCAAACAGGGCCAAAAAUUCUUCGCAUUAUUCAGGUAUGCAGGAGAAUAAUGGAGUUGUUCGAUCUGGAGUUUAUUCCAAGGUGCAAAAUUUACCAAAAUGAACUAUAAUGCUAAUGAUUUUGUUCCAUUUAAUUUCUUGGGAGUUGUCGCACAUUAAAUUCUUGCCGCAAUCCCUCUAUAAAUUUUUAGGCGUUCUGAAUUUUGAUGUAGCCAUUCGUCUCAUAGCUGCAAUCGGAAGGCCAAAUUCAAAGUUCGGUCUUUUUCUGGAAACUAAAACAGUGGCAUAUAGUAUUUUCUUCCACUCUAUUAUAUCCUCUUGUUUUCUAGAGAACUGAUCAUACCUAUCUUGCUGGAUUUGUUUAUGAUCUGUGUUUUACUCUGGGUGUCUCUUGACAAAAAUGGAUAUGAAUGAGAGGCGCUCCAAGGAGCAAGAGAAAUCAUGUGUAAAUACAAGUGCACUUUGAUUUUUUAUGCCAUUUAUAUAACUAAAAUAUUAAUGAUGGUUGUACAUAGAGUUUUAGACCUGUGGCUCUUUUGUUUACAUUUAAUCAUGUGUAAAACUUGGGAACAUGUAUGGAUGGACAAUACUAUGUGGAUUUGAUCAUUUUAUUGACUAAUUAUACAUCGUAUGAACUUAUAGAGUUUAGAGUUGUUUAUCCUGUUCUAAUGCUGGAGUUAAAAGUUUCAUGUAGCUAAUGCCAUCAUCUUUAUAAUAGAGCGGCAACAUACUCCGUAAGUUUUCACCCUACUCUAGGAAGCCAUUUCAUCAGUUUUUGGCUUCUGACACACUCGGAGCAACAAAUUUUGUGCUGCUAAUUGUUCUGUCCUCUCCGUUCUCUCUCUUUGCACUUACUUGUGAUUUUUGCUUAUGUCCGCGUACAGAUUUCAUCCAGGAAAUUUAGUCCUAGGGACUUUGAUAUACAAUGAUACACCAAAGCAAGCAAAGAAGCCAAAAGAAGUUAAAUGUUUUUACCUGCUGCUGGCAUCCGAUGAGCAGUUGCAGGUGUCAACCAUAGUAUUGUUAUAUGAAGUGAGAGUUGCAUGUGCUUAUCUGAAGCUUAUACUAAUAAUGUGCCUCCCUAAUUGUGGCUGAUCUGGAGCUCAUACCCAUGUUGGGAAUUUGCAGCAGGUCUGAUCCCUUGCGCGUGCUCCUCCGCUUGCCCUCUCGACCCUCCCCUUGCUCAUCGCCGUCCAUUUUAUUCAGAGUGUAGAUGGCGGGCAAAACACCUAAGCUCCAGAGCAAGGAUGAAAAGCACUCCAUACACACUCACAAGGAUGAUGAUCCAUCUGUUUCUAGGAUGGUGGGACUUGAGGUCAAACUGCACAGGUAUGCACCAGAUUCAAGGAUCAGCUACUUGAUGAAAUAUACAGGAGACUCUCCUACUCAACAUUACCUUAAAAAAGAAUCAAGGAUCAGUUCAAUGGGAAUUGGAAUGAUGAAAACACUUGUUUGAGCACAUCUGAUCCUCAUAAUAGCAUAUUUUUAAUAAAUCACUGUAGUCAAAUCACUUUUUUUUAUAAUUUCUAUAGUAAAAUCACUUACUAUUGUGUAUAAGUGCCAUUAAGGAUAAUCCUAGAUCUGCGGGAUAGUUUGGAAGUUAUACCCAAGGCAUUAUAAUUGCUCUAUAUUAUUAUUAAUUUCGUAUAUCAUCACCUUAGACUACUCGAACUGUCGGCCAUGCUUUGUGAUUAAACAAUUCUUGACUGAUUAAAUCCAUUUCAAGUGUAAUGCAAGUGUUGAAUUGUGAUCCAUGAACAGCAAGCCCAUUUGGGGAAUGUAUUUGAACAAUGACCCAAGCAGUCGCACAAGUGGAUCUGCACAUAUUAUUAUCAAGGUAUCGUCUCAUCUUUCAAUUUUCUUUGCCACUCUAAAAUAAUCGGUUUUCUCUUUCAUGUGAGCAUUUUGAUUUUUUUUCUAGAAGCUUGACAAGAAAACUGAAAACAAAUAAUUAGAGAAGAUUAACCGGGCGGGAGGAGAGGGAAGAAGGGAUAAAGAGAAAAGAAAUACAUAGUAAAGUUAUAUUGAUUAAAGAGUUCUAGCAAUGCAUCUGCUUCUAACUAUAUAUAAAGAUCUUGCAUGUGAUUAACCGGGCGGGAGGAGAUGGAAGAAGGGCUUGGCCACUUGGAUCGUGAGAUGACUAUUCGGUUGACCAUUUGUGCUAUCUAUUCAAUGUCAUGCAUCAUAGAAACAAAGAUUAGUUUUGUUGUUGUGGAUUUUGCAGGAAAACAGAGUAGGUCAUGGUGGAUGAAGAGAACAUUAACCGACAGACUUUUCGGUAAAAAAAUUGGCUGCCUUGAUUAGUUUAUUUCUUAUCAAUUAAAUUUGUAUGUGAAGUACAAAAAGUUGAUAAUUGGGACAGAAUUAUGACUUUUACUAUGUACCAUUUUCAUAUAUUCCUCAACAACACGUCUAGAUUCAUGUAGAUAAUAAUUUGAACACGUCUAGCAAUUUACAUGUCUUCUGGGCAAGCUAAGCUAUUUUCUUGAUGAUCCAAGCAGGUUGCUGAUCAAAUAUAAAAUAUGUAAUUUUCUGGUUCAGUAAUAAACGGGCAAUUCAACUUAUGGCUGGGGCAGCCUGAUUUCCUCCUACACACGCCCGCUAGCAGCAGCAGUUACGACCAGGCGGUUGCGGAAGGUGAUAGGUGUGGUGGUCGGCGGUGCCUGGGCUAUUGAUGUUCGAUUUGAGAGGAAGAAGAGAGAUUGGCUGCUGAUUUUGGGAGGAAGAAGAGAGAUUGAGCGUGCUGUUGCUGCCGUGUGUGGUCUUGGGAGAGGAAUAAAAGAGAGUAGUAGAGAGCUUUAGAGAGAUAGCAAAGGAUUGAGAGGCUACUCCUAUUUGUAUUGCUGUCGAUGCUUGCACAAUGCCACUGCUUAUUAUACUGUGUUAUUCAUCUUUGAAAAAAACAAUCAUUUUCUCCCUUCAA